CACGUAGGGGGCCAGCGUUGCUCGGAAUUACUGGGCGUAAAGGGUUCGUAGGCGGUGCGGAAAGUUGGGAGUGAAAUCUCUGGGCUUAACCCAGAGGCUGCUUUCAAAACUUCCGUGCUCGAGUGCGAGAGAGGUCAGUGGAAUUGCAGGUGUAGCGGUGAAAUGCGUAGAUAUCUGCAGGAACACCCGUGGCGAAGGCGGCUGACUGGAUCGCAACUGACGCUGAGGAACGAAAGCUAGGGGAGCAAACAGG
rnacentral:rRNA from 1 species